GUAUUGUUUCUGUUGGUCAUGUCUAGAUGCUACACUUAUGUUGUAGCAUGCCAUGUUAUUUGCUAUAUUAAACAUACCACCUGCUUCUCGACUCCCAGUGUCUCCGGUACAGAAUACUGCCUCCCAAAAUGGAAGCAGCAGGAAAUCAGUUGAUGAGCAAGAAUACCUACUUUGUUAACACCACGACCAGCUGGCACAACUGGGGACGGCUAUGGAAGAGAUUCAACAUCUCAAACAUAUUUGAGAGGUGCUGCCUUCAACUAACGGAGGACACUAUCACCAGUCGACCCAGCCCAUUCAGCAACCUGCCCUGGUCAGCGACGCCCAUCUGUCCCUCCUGGAAAAGCACCCCCUCUUCUACUUUUCGCACCAGAUUGGAACUCCUACAACAGAGGUCCAAGGUUGCCACGGUUAUUUCUCUGCUGACUGGGCGGGCAUUGGAAUGGGCCUCGGCUGUCCGGGAGAGAGGCGCUGGAUUCGGGUGAGGGGUUCAUGGCUUGAUUCAGAGGUGUCUUCGAUCAUCCACGGGCGGCCGGUGGUGUCUGGUCCCUUGGCUGAUGCUGUCCUCCCCCCCCCGGACCUCGAAGGAGCUCCCGCCUAUGCCGUCAGAUCUCCCAAAGUCAUGGGGGUCGGCUCCAGUACCUGGUGGACUGGCAGGGGUAUGGCCCAGAGGAGCCAUGUGUUCCGGUGGAGGACAUUUUGGAUCCCAACAUCAUCAGUGAUCUUCAUCUUUGCUGACCGGCCCACUCCUCGGGUCGUUCCUGUGGCUGGAGCUGUGAGUCGGGUACUGUCACGUCUACUCCCGCUCCUCCCCUCCAGUGGUCGAUGUCGCCAGUUUACUAAUCACCGGUCCUGGGAAGCAUCACGUGCAUCUGCGCUUCAUCAUUAAGCACAUCUGGACCCCAUAACCUCCCCUUUAUCUGUGACUCCCUUAGGUUCCUUCCCAAGGCUGUAUUGUUUCUGUUCAUGUCUAGACGCUACUCCUACGUUGUACCGUUCCAUGUUAUUUGCUAUAUUUAACUUCCACUGGCAGUUGCUUCUUGACUCCCAGUGAUAAAUUAUACCGUCUUUACCGAUACCAUGAUGAAAUCUCCACCAUGCUUGAAAAUAAGGAGACGCUGGUUAAAUGUAAAAAUAAUUUACUCAGUU